rnacentral:tRNA from 1 species
AAUGAUGUGCCUGAAUUUAAAGGAUUAUAAUGAUAAAAUAAAUAAUGUAAUAUAAUUACCUUCAUUA